rnacentral:rRNA from 1 species
AUUGAACGCUGGCGGCAUGCUUUACACAUGCAAGUCGAACGGUAACAGGCCGCAAGGUGCUGACGAGUGGCGAACGGGUGAGUAAUGCAUCGGAACGUGCCCAGUCGUGGGGGAUAACUACUCGAAAGAGUAGCUAAUACCGCAUACGAUCUAUGGAUGAAAGCGGGGGACCGUAAGGCCUCGCGCGAUUGGAGCGGCCGAUGUCAGAUUAGGUAGUUGGUGGGGUAAAGGCUCACCAAGCCAACGAUCUGUAGCUGGUCUGAGAGGACGACCAGCCACACUGGGACUGAGACACGGCCCAAACUCCUAAGGGAGGCAGAAGUGGGGAAUUUUGGACAAUGGGCGCAAGCCUGAUCCAGCAAUGCCGCGUGCAGGAAGAAGGCCUUCGGGUUGUAAACUGCUUUUGUACGGAACGAAACGGCUCUGGUUAAUACCCGGGGCUAAUGACGGUACCGUAAGAAUAAGCACCGGCUAACUACGUG